GAUGAACGCUAGCGGCAGGCUUAACACAUGCAAGUCGAGGGGCAGCAUGAGACGGAGAUUCGUCGAAGUCUUGAUGGCGACCGGCGCAAGGGUGCGUAACGCGUGAGCAACUUGCCCGUUUCAGGGGGAUAACCGGUGGAAACGCCGACUAAUACCCCAUAGUAUUGAUUUAAGGCAUCUUUUAUCAAUUAAAGAAAUUCGGAAACGGAUAGGCUCGCGUGACAUUAGCUAGAUGGUGAGGUAAUGGCUCACCAUGGCGACGAUGUCUAGGGGUUCUGAGAGGAAGGUCCCCCCACACUGGAACUGAGACACGGUCCAGACUCCUACGGGAGGCAGCAGUGAGGAAUAUGGUCAAUGGUCUGACGACUGAACCAGCCAUGCCGCGUGAAGGUCACGGCCCUAUGGGUCUUAAACUUCUCUUGUAAGGGAGCAAUAAGCCUCACGUGUGGGGUGAUGAGAGUACCUUACGAAUAAGCAUCGGCUAACUCCGUG
rnacentral:rRNA from 1 species